AGAGUGUUAGCAAGUGGCAUCUAUUGCUCUCAUUGCCACUUCAUCUUGGAUUUGUAUCAUGAGCUUGAUAAACCUCACACCUGCUGAUUUGAGGGAGAAGGGAAUGAAGAAGGUUUGACUCCCAUCAGUGGCUUUGAGCAUUAAUGAGUUUUUCCCUCCUUAGGAGCUGAUGUGCUUUGGGUAUUUCUUCUUGUAAAUUCUGACUUGACUAGAGUUUGGUUUUGUGGCUUUGUUUCCUUUUGUGUAUUAGAAAUGCCUCAGUUCCCAGCUCAGUGAUGUAACUUGCUCUCCACUAGAAGAAUCAAAUAUUAUCAUUGACUCUGCUUUACCAUUAGACAGAAAAGAAUGUAGCUCAAAAAUUCACUCAUCUCCAUAAAUACAUUCCUUUUCAAAAAUAUUUUGCAGAUGAAUUUUCGCAGUCACAUGUAACUCAAUUUUUUCCUACAGAGGAAGAGAUUAUAAUUUAGUUAUGUCUUGUCUUCCUGAAGCUGCUGUGUUUGUUUUUCCUUUGACAUUUGAAAUGAGGGCACAUAUUUCUAAAUGUGCUCCACCUGCUCAUGAAGGAAACCUCUACAAUGUCAGCGAUUUUGAACUAGAAAUGGGCCACAUAGAAAUGUGGCAGAUUCCCAGAAUUACCUGACUACAUUCUCUUGAUGCACAUGAGCUUGAAAGCAAAAACUGUCAGGCCCAGAGCCACUAACUCAAAGCUUGGUUGUCUGUGUUUGAGAUUUCCCUGUGCAUGGUGUCAAAUUAUAUGUGUGUUUUAUGGAAUUGAAACACACUCAAAUGUUCUCUUAGAGUUCACUCAGAGAAAAAUGGUCUCAUUUUUUCCUUUAGAAAAUACGGAGCAAUUGUCUCCUUGGAGCAACGCCAGCACUACAAGGAUGCCUUCAAUGCAGAUUAUGAGGAAUAUUGGAAUUUAUAUUUUAAGAUUGACAAGAUCAUCAAGAAAUUCAGACAUUUUCAGGAACAAUGGAAGUCUCUGACUCCAGGCUCCAAAGCCUAUCAGAUGCUGCAUUAUCGAAUCCUAGCAGAUUAUCAGCAGUUACAACAGAGUAGCCCCAGCUAUUAUGAAAUGAAGAGUGGGUGCCAGUACCUCCACAAGAAGCUGGCCCAUAUUCAGAGCUGCAUUUCUGAAUUUGAGCAGCAGUGAGUGGAGUACUGGCACCAGACAUCGGCUUCAGCAUGGAACAUCUCUGAAAUCAGGAUUUUUCAUUUCAACUAGAAGAUUAGAUUUUUUAGGAUUCUUUAAAUUAGUACAGAACAAUAGGUUAUCUUAGCACUGAGCAGUAGGUGAUUUCUUAUAAAUGUAGGAUUAGUUCAAAGAAGUUUAGUUAAGUUUAAGUCAAAGUUGAAAGAUGAUAAUAUUGAAAUUUAACAAUAAAGAAAUCUCAC